rnacentral:rRNA from 1 species
UCUGNUCUGUCACUGACGCUGAGGCUCGAAAGCGUGGGUAGCGAACAGGAUUAGAUACCCUGGUAGUNCACGCCGUAAACGAUGAGUGCUAGGUGUUAGGCCCUUUCCGGGGCUUAGUGCCGGAGCUAACGCAAUAAGCACUCCGCCUGGGGAGUACGACCGCAAGGUUGAAACUCAAAGGAAUUGACGGGGGCCCGCACAAGCGGUGGAGCAUGUGGUUUAAUUCGAAGCAACGCGAAGAACCUUACCAGGUCUUGACAUCCCGAUGCUAUUCUUAGAGAUAGGAAGUUACUUCGGUACAUCGGAGACAGGUGGUGCAUGGUUGUCGUCAGCUCGUGUCGUGAGAUGUUGGGUUNNNNNNCGCAACGAGCGCAAUCCUUAUUGUUAGUUGCCAUCAUUAAGUUGGGCACUCUAGCGAGACUGUCGGUAAUAAACCGGAGGAAGGUGGGGAUGACGUCAAAUCAUCAUGCCCCUUAUGACCUGGACUACACACGUGCUACAAUGGUCGGUACAACGAGUUGCGAGCCGGUGACGGCAAGCUAAUCUCUGAAAGCCGAUCUCAGUUCGGAUUGGAGGCUGCAACUCGCCUCCAUGAAGUCGGAAUCGCUAGUAAUCGCGGAUCAGCACGCCGCGGUGAAUACGUUCCCGGGCCU